rnacentral:rRNA from 1 species
AGAGUUUGAUCAUGGCUCAGAGCGAACGCUGGCGGCAGGCUUAACACAUGCAAGUCGAACAGGCACUUCGGUGCUAGUGGCAGACGGGUGAGUAACACGUGGGAACGUACCUUUCGGUUCGGAAUAAUUCAGGGAAACUUGGACUAAUACCGGAUAAGCCCUUCGGGGGAAAGAUUUAUCGCCGAUAGAUCGGCCCGCGUCUGAUUAGCUAGUUGGUGAGGUAACGGCUCACCAAGGCGACGAUCAGUAGCUGGUCUGAGAGGAUGAUCAGCCACAUUGGGACUGAGACACGGCCCAAACUCCUACGGGAGGCAGCAGUGGGGAAUAUUGGACAAUGGGCGAAAGCCUGAUCCAGCCAUGCCGCGUGUGUGAUGAAGGCCUUAGGGUUGUAAAGCACUUUUGUCCGGGAAGAUAAUGACUGUACCGGAAGAAUAAGCCCCGGCUAACUUCGUGCCAGCAGCCGCGGUAAUACGAAGGGGGCUAGCGUUGCUCGGAAUCACUGGGCGUAAAGGGCGCGUAGGCGGACUCUUAAGUCGGGGGUGAAAGCCCAGGGCUCAACCCUGGAAUUGCCUUCGAUACUGAGAGUCUUGAGUUCGGAAGAGGUUGGUGGAACUGCGAGUGUAGAGGUGAAAUUCGUAGAUAUUCGCAAGAACACCAGUGGCGAAGGCGGCCAACUGGUCCGAUACUGACGCUGAGGCGCGAAAGCGUGGGGAGCAAACAGGAUUAGAUACCCCGGUAGUCC